UACGGAGGGUGCAAGCGUUGUUCGGAUUUACUGGGCGUAAAGGGCGCGUAGGCGGCCACCGCAAGUCGGUUGUGAAAUCUCCGGGCUUAACCCGGAAAGGUCAAUCGAUACUGCGGGGCUAGAGUGCAGAAGGGGCAACUGGAAUUCUCGGUGUAGCGGUGAAAUGCGUAGAUAUCGAGAGGAACACCUGCGGCGAAGGCGGGUUGCUGGGCUGACACUGACGCUGAAGCGCGAAAGCUAGGGGAGCGAACGGG
rnacentral:rRNA from 1 species